rnacentral:tRNA from 1 species
CAGGAGAAAAAGGGAUUCGAACCCUUAACCUGUGGUUUUGGAGACCAUUGUUCUACCAUUUA